AAUUGCCACAGAAGAUUCCUGUAUCAUUGUUUGCUUGACGAUGGAUCCCACAAACCUUGUCAGCAACCUUGUCGGCAAUUGCAACCGAAGACUCUCAUAAUGAUCUACAAGAUGAAGGCUUUCAGUUGUCCAGGCCAGGCCAGGUGACCGAUGACAAUGAUAGAUCGGGUUCGAUUCAAGCUGUACGCUUGGUGUAUUUGGUUAUCGUGACUGGCGACUUGAGUCUAUCUCAUCUCAUUUCCAAAGCGCGGUGGCUGGGUCCCAGGCAUGCUUGCCACUUUGUUCCACGGUCCUCAUCUAAGUUUCGACGGUGAUGACAUGGACUUAGGUUCAAGGUACGUGUUCCCCUUGAGUCAUCGUGGUUGAUUGAUGGGGGCAAUAAGAGUUGCGUGUCGCUAGUCAUUCAAUUGGUCCCCUUGUUUUAGAGUGUUGGCGGGAUAAGUCUUACGACUGUUAACAAUAGUAAGCAAUAGCUGGCCAGCGAUCCCCUACCUGAUCUCGAGGGGGAUGGAAUGACUGGGGUUUAAGUCCUGUUGUUAACCUGCGGAAUUUCGUCGGACGAAAUGUCAGGCGUGUCCGUGUGGGACUUGUGCUAAACCAGUUUAGUACAUAUGACGAAGACAUUGGGCUCUUUGGAUAACAACAGUGUACUUGACCUCCUUGUGCUUCACAAAACUUAUAAAUAAACCCGCUGAAAUUGACAUGACGGAGUAGAAGAAGGAGAGCCGGCCUCAGCUUGUCAGCCGAGAAGAGCAGAGAAGACACUGGACCCCAAGAAUACAGUGUUGCAGCCAAACCAGAAGAACCAGCCAGAUGGAAGGGACAAAGGAUACAAGGGACACAGGAUACAACGGACACAGGAUACAAGGGAUACAAAUGACGACACUGCAACCCACAAGCCUUAUGCAGAUGACGGCUGUCAGGUAGACCCAACCACUCGACCACGCCAUGCAAGAUCAACUCUCGAAGAUCCAGGAAUCCACUGAGUGACAAACCGCAGGGUGACUGAGAGAUGUCGCAGAGAAGCCAACCACUCUCUGAUGGAGGUGUAAAGGAUAGAGGUUGCAAGCAUUGUCCUGCACUGAUGAGGGCAGUGGAUCGAGAGUCGAGUGGAUUCAGUGGAUCGAGAGUCGAGUGGAUUCAGUGGAUCGAAUGGUGGCACUGAGGGAUAUCGAAGGGGCAGGAGUGACAAACCACAGUCUUUACCGACCGAUUCAUGCAGAACUUUUGCUAAGAUCGGGAACAUUUGUGCUGUGUGUAUGGAGAGGACAAUUGAAACACUGUCCGAAACUCUAAUAGAC